rnacentral:lncRNA from 1 species
GAGCGACUAACGUCGAUCUGGAAGACAUUCUCGAGCACAUAUUCUCCAGGGAUCUUUGGAAGGUCUGGUGUCUGAUUGUCAAAUAGAAGACCUUUCAAGUCAUUUUGAUACUGGCCCUGUUGCACACAAUCGAGUAACAUAAUCAGCUCAAGCCCCUUCAAGUAGGUUUGGAUAUCAUUGAUUAACCUUUUUCUUUACCUGCAGUGACCAGUAAUCGAAGCUGAUAUAUGUCAUUGGGUAGCGCCAAAAUGGUUUUGGAAUAUCAUUAGGGAGUCUGAAAUAGCCAGACACUAGCAUAAAAAUUCCCUGUUCCACGGAGCAACUGUGAGGUAUGGUUCUUAUCUCAUUGCCUCAUGUCAAAAUCUUCCUACUGUAAGCCCAAAUGGCACUUCAAUAUGCAGGGAUAUGUAAGUUAAACAGGUUUCCAGUUUUUAGCACAUGUGAAUUUGUUAAAUUUGAUUCCGAUUAUGAUGAAAUUACAUGAUACAUAAGGAUUCUACAUAGAUAAUUUUAGGAAAAGAUAUCACUAUUCUUAUCAGCAUCAUCUUAUUUCAAUAGCAUAUCUAUCUAUGUUUGAACUGUCAGAAUGCUGCUCAUCUAACUAUUAAUGCAAUUCUACAGUAUCUGUAUAGACUUGAAGAUUGAAUUAACUCGCUUAUGCAUGUAAAUAGAACCACCAUAGUGUUUAUAAUCCUACUGCAACUUUUCUAGAUAACAAACAAUGAGGCUUUUGUCUUUUGGCUUUGUGAAAAUAACUUGCAGCGGUUAUCCAAUUGCUUCCUACAGUCAUGGAGUUCUUCGGAGAUUAUAAAUGAAGCAUCAUCAUCAGAAAAGGUUUAGAUGUGUUGGUGUUGCUUACCUGAAUCCCAGCUCCUAUUAUGAUUCCCAUGAGAAAAUUGGGGACGACACUGGCUAUGGCCAUCAUCAAGCUCUCAACCACAGUCACACUGGCGUAGAGGCACAACACAAAGAACAGGUAAUGCAUGAAACCUGGAUGAAGUUUCACCAUAAAAUAGCAUAUGGUUCCAGAGGCAAAGGAUAUCAUGAUCAGAAAAGGCAUUGCAGACAGUGUGUUGCUGAUAACAAAUGCUAACACGCCAUAAUGUCCGUUGAGCCGCUCUCUUUGGAAAACCUGCAUGACAUACAGCAAGUUGUAGAAUCACAGCCUGAGAUGAAGAUUUGAUUUUGGUAUAACCAAAAAAGAGGGAGAUCAAAUGAACCUUCAUAUCUUCCACAAAUGAUGGGAAUCCUCCAAUAGACAUGAAUGUGACGAAGCCAAAGACGAAAGAAGCGCAUGCUCCCCUUGCCUGUCCAAGAAAAAAAAUUAAGGAGAGAAAAAUCAGGAAAUUAGCUUAAGCUAUUUAUCUAUCCUUCCAGCUAACUGUUAACUCUCUUGAUGUAGGUCACGCAGGAGCAGACAAGGGAGCUGUUCCAGUCAGAUGGCAAAGUUAUCUGCCAUGAGCAAGAAGGUGGGAAGAAUACCAGAAUCGCACUGUAUCCAGUCCCGACAUUCAGGUAUAUAGUUCCGAUGCAGAUGGUGACCACAAUAU